rnacentral:rRNA from 1 species
UACGUAGGGUGCAAGCGUUGUCCGGAAUUAUUGGGCGUAAAGAGCUCGUAGGCGGUUUGUCGCGUCUGCUGUGAAAACCCGAGGCUCAACCUCCAGCCUGCAGUGGGUACGGGCAGACUAGAGUGCGGUAGGGGAGAUUGGAAUUCCUGGUGUAAGCGGUGGAAUGCGCAGAUAUCAGGAGGAACACCGGUGGCGAAGGCGGGUCUCUGGACGACUCCUGACACUGAGGCACGAAAGCCAGGGGAGCAAACAGG